rnacentral:misc_RNA from 1 species
AAGUCGUAACAAGGUUUCCGUAGGUGAACCUGCGGAAGGAUCAUUAUAAAAUUUUCAUAUAUUAUUUAUUUAAUAUAUAAUAAAAUUAUACAAAAAUGUAUUCAAAACCCACACUCUUUAUAACCAUAAAAAAACAUUAUAUCUCGUAUAUAAUAUAAAAAAAACAACUUUCAACAACGGAUCUCUUGGCUCUC